rnacentral:rRNA from 1 species
GGGUUGUGAGGUUAAGCGACUAAGCGUACACGGUGGAUGCCCUGGCAGUCAGAGGCGAUGAAGGACGUGCUAAUCUGCGAUAAGCGUCGGUAAGGUGAUAUGAACCGUUAUAACCGGCGAUUUCCGAAUGGGGAAACCCAGUGUGUUUCGACACACUAUCAUUAACUGAAUCCAUAGGUUAAUGAGGCGAACCGGGGGAACUGAAACAUCUAAGUACCCCGAGGAAAAGAAAUCAACCGAGAUUCCCCCAGUAGCGGCGAGCGAACGGGGAGCAGCCCAGAGCCUGAAUCAGUAUGUGUGUUAGUGGAAGCGUCUGGAAAGGCGCGCGAUACAGGGUGACAGCCCCGUACACAAAAAUGCACAUAUUGUGAGCUCGAUGAGUAGGGCGGGACACGUGGUAUCCUGUCUGAAUAUGGGGGGACCAUCCUCCAAGGCUAAAUACUCCUGACUGACCGAUAGUGAACCAGUACCGUGAGGGAAAGGCGAAAAGAACCCCGGCGAGGGGAGUGAAAAAGAACCUGAAACCGUGUACGUACAAGCAGUGGGAGCACGCUUAGGCGUGUGACUGCGUACCUUUUGUAUAAUGGGUCAGCGACUUAUAUUCUGUAGCAAGGUUAACCGAAUAGGGGAGCCGAAGGGAAACCGAGUCUUAACUGGGCGUUAAGUUGCAGGGUAUAGACCCGAAACCCGGUGAUCUAGCCAUGGGCAGGUUGAAGGUUGGGUAACACUAACUGGAGGACCGAACCGACUAAUGUUGAAAAAUUAGCGGAUGACUUGUGGCUGGGGGUGAAAGGCCAAUCAAACCGGGAGAUAGCUGGUUCUCCCCGAAAGCUAUUUAGGUAGCGCCUCGUGAAUUCAUCUCCGGGGGUAGAGCACUGUUUCGGCAAGGGGUCAUCCCGACUUACCAACCCGAUGCAAACUGCGAAUACCGGAGAAUGUUAUCACGGGAGACACACGGCGGGUGCUAACGUCCGUCGUGAAGAGGGAAACAACCCAGACCGCCAGCUAAGGUCCCAAAGUCAUGGUUAAGUGGGAAACGAUGUGGGAAGGCCCAGACAGCCAGGAUGUUGGCUUAGAAGCAGCCAUCAUUUAAAGAAAGCGUAAUAGCUCACUGGUCGAGUCGGCCUGCGCGGAAGAUGUAACGGGGCUAAACCAUGCACCGAAGCUGCGGCAGCGACACUAUGUGUUGUUGGGUAGGGGAGCGUUCUGUAAGCCUGUGAAGGUGUGCUGUGAGGCAUGCUGGAGGUAUCAGAAGUGCGAAUGCUGACAUAAGUAACGAUAAAGCGGGUGAAAAGCCCGCUCGCCGGAAGACCAAGGGUUCCUGUCCAACGUUAAUCGGGGCAGGGUGAGUCGACCCCUAAGGCGAGGCCGAAAGGCGUAGUCGAUGGGAAACAGGUUAAUAUUCCUGUACUUGGUGUUACUGCGAAGGGGGGACGGAGAAGGCUAUGUUGGCCGGGCGACGGUUGUCCCGGUUUAAGCGUGUAGGCUGGUUUUCCAGGCAAAUCCGGAAAAUCAAGGCUGAGGCGUGAUGACGAGGCACUACGGUGCUGAAGCAACAAAUGCCCUGCUUCCAGGAAAAGCCUCUAAGCAUCAGGUAACAUCAAAUCGUACCCCAAACCGACACAGGUGGUCAGGUAGAGAAUACCAAGGCGCUUGAGAGAACUCGGGUGAAGGAACUAGGCAAAAUGGUGCCGUAACUUCGGGAGAAGGCACGCUGAUAUGUAGGUGAAGUCCCUCGCGGAUGGAGCUGAAAUCAGUCGAAGAUACCAGCUGGCUGCAACUGUUUAUUAAAAACACAGCACUGUGCAAACACGAAAGUGGACGUAUACGGUGUGACGCCUGCCCGGUGCCGGAAGGUUAAUUGAUGGGGUUAGCCGCAAGGCGAAGCUCUUGAUCGAAGCCCCGGUAAACGGCGGCCGUAACUAUAACGGUCCUAAGGUAGCGAAAUUCCUUGUCGGGUAAGUUCCGACCUGCACGAAUGGCGUAAUGAUGGCCAGGCUGUCUCCACCCGAGACUCAGUGAAAUUGAACUCGCUGUGAAGAUGCAGUGUACCCGCGGCAAGACGGAAAGACCCCGUGAACCUUUACUAUAGCUUGACACUGAACAUUGAGCCUUGAUGUGUAGGAUAGGUGGGAGGCUUUGAAGUGUGGACGCCAGUCUGCAUGGAGCCGACCUUGAAAUACCACCCUUUAAUGUUUGAUGUUCUAACGUUGACCCGUAAUCCGGGUUGCGGACAGUGUCUGGUGGGUAGUUUGACUGGGGCGGUCUCCUCCUAAAGAGUAACGGAGGAGCACGAAGGUUGGCUAAUCCUGGUCGGACAUCAGGAGGUUAGUGCAAUGGCAUAAGCCAGCUUGACUGCGAGCGUGACGGCGCGAGCAGGUGCGAAAGCAGGUCAUAGUGAUCCGGUGGUUCUGAAUGGAAGGGCCAUCGCUCAACGGAUAAAAGGUACUCCGGGGAUAACAGGCUGAUACCGCCCAAGAGUUCAUAUCGACGGCGGUGUUUGGCACCUCGAUGUCGGCUCAUCACAUCCUGGGGCUGAAGUAGGUCCCAAGGGUAUGGCUGUUCGCCAUUUAAAGUGGUACGCGAGCUGGGUUUAGAACGUCGUGAGACAGUUCGGUCCCUAUCUGCCGUGGGCGCUGGAGAACUGAGGGGGGCUGCUCCUAGUACGAGAGGACCGGAGUGGACGCAUCACUGGUGUUCGGGUUGUCAUGCCAAUGGCACUGCCCGGUAGCUAAAUGCGGAAGAGAUAAGUGCUGAAAGCAUCUAAGCACGAAACUUGCCCCGAGAUGAGUUCUCCCUGACUCCUUGAGAGUCCUGAAGGAACGUUGAAGACGACGACGUUGAUAGGCCGGGUGUGUAAGCGCAGCGAUGCGUUGAGCUAACCGGUACUAAUGAACCGUGAGGCUUAACCUUACAACGCCGAAGGUGUUU